rnacentral:rRNA from 1 species
UGCUGGAAGGUUAAUUGAUGAUGUGAGAGCAUUUGAUCGAAGCCCCAGUAAACGGCGGCCGUAACUAUAACGGUCCUAAGGUAGCGAAAUUCCUUGUCGGGUAAGUUCCGACCUGCACGAAUGGCGUAAUGAUGGCCAGGCUGUCUCCACCCGAGACUCAGUGAAAUUGAAAUCGCCGUGAAGAUGCGGUGUACCCGCGGCUAGACGGAAAGACCCCGUGAACC